rnacentral:rRNA from 1 species
UACGUAGGGUGCAAGCGUUUAAUCGGAAUACUGGGCGUAAAGCGUGCGCAGGCGGUUAUGUAAGACAGAUGUGAAAUGCCCGGGCUUAACCUGGGAACUGCAUUUGUGACUGCAUGGCUAGAGUUUGGCAGAGGGGGGUAGAAUUCCACGUGUAGCAGUGAAAUGCGUAGAUAUGUGGAGGAACACCGAUGGCGAAGGCAGCCCCCUGGGGUCAAGACUGACGCUCAUGCACGAAAGCGUGGG